rnacentral:hammerhead_ribozyme from 1 species
AUCCAGCUGACGAGUCCCAAACAGGACGAAACAAACGUCAUAGAU